CUUUUUCAGGCAGUGAUCAGUGUGUUCUGAUGAUUUGCAUGUUAAACAAACAAUAUUUUUUAUUUGUAGUACAUUGUAAGAGAUAAUACAUAAUAACCAAUCAGUCAUUUUGUAUUAUAUCGGCAUUCGGUAACAACAGCACUGGUGACACGAGACUUAUUAUUAGUAAUAGCUUAUUUUAUAGCGGCUGAAUCUGGAAUGUCCAGCAGCUACAUUGAGUCAGAUCGGGAAAAUGUUUGUACAUUAUGUUUGUCUAGUUGUCAAUCUCCCUUCUUACGUAUGUAUUUCUUUCAUAUUAUCUCUUAAAACAGUGAGGUAAAACAUCACACAAAAGGGUUUGAUGAAAAACAUUGUGACAUUUGUAGAAAAUAAAAACGUUUCAAAUUUCGAUUAGUCGAUUUUCAGAAGUGUUUAGGCGAGUCUUGGUCGACCAAAGAAAAUCUUAUUUUCAGGGACAGCCCUACAAAUUUCCGUUCUAAACUGCAAAGGCGUGAAGGACAUUGUCCUGAACUUGACAUAAACUCAUUGAAAAGGAAAUCUCCUGGGGAGAUAAAUCCAGCCAAAAACUGUAAGAGACCAAAGAGAGCAGAGGUAAACUACCUUCCUCCACAUCCAAGUGGAGAAACUAGCAACAAACUGGAGAUGGAGAGACUGCAGCUUCUUAAUGAGGUAAAGAAGAAGAACAACACAAAGGUUAUUGAAGAAAAAAUUGCCAAAACAUUCUCCUAUCGAAGGCUUGAGGUUGUGAGUGGUAAUGACUAAAUGUAAUCCAGCUGCCGAUGACUUCAAAGAGAGAUGGCCUGUUUUGUUUUGUGAAGCAGAGGUAGGUGAACAUAUAAACCCCUUUAUUUACCCCUUUUUAAAAUUAAACUUGAAACACUUAACAAUCUUAACAACUGUUAAGAUUGGAAGCCAAAUUAGUGUUCCACUUAAAGUGCUAUCUUGUUAAUACACCAUUAAUAUGUACAGGGUUUAAAAUGCCUUUUACCGAAUUUCCUCUUCCUUUUGCAUGAGACCGUUUGGCCUGAUUCAUGCACAAACUGGAUCACUACACACCUAAACUUAUUUCUCUGGCCAAGGGAGGUGUCGUGGGGACCAAGCUGAGGCCGUUCCUCGACAAACUGAGUCAGGAGGACAGCCGCAGUGAUGCCACUCAACACAUCCUGAAGAUCCUGGUUGUUCAUGGUGCUGAUGGGGGAUCCAGUGGAUGUAUCCAUCCUUCUUGAAGGCAAGGUGAUGUUGCCAGGAUGCAGGAGUUCUGCUAAAGCUUGCGUGCUGGUCAUGGGGCUGAUUUAUGCCCUCAACCUGGCAUACCCCCCAACACUGCGCUACACUUUUGAGGUGUUUGAAAAACGUUUCGUAGAACUGGAUGGGAUUAAGCUGUCCCCAAAAAUACAAACUUUAAAAUGUAAGUUGCUGUCUUAAAUGCUACCGCCAUGGCAGGUGCUGUACAAUCUUGUUAGAACUUAUGACAGUUUAGUUAACAUUUUACUCUACCACAAAGUUAAGAAUUUACAGUUUGAAACCCAAAAUGUCAGUUACACACGGACAUGAUUUAAAAAAUCAAAGUUUCUUUUUUUCUUUUUCACUGUCAUGAGACACUUUAUUUUCAUAAACACAUGCAGCUUUAGAGUUCAUCAGGACAUGUGUUGGCUUUUUGAUGAGGUAACAAUCUGUUAAACCACUCCUUACUGUUUGGAUGCAUUCACAAAGCCUGUUGGGAGAAUUUAUGACUUGCAUUCCCAACCCAAAGACAUGCAUUUUCUUUAGUUAUGUAAGCCCUACAGUUGUUGAAAAGGUCAUGCUAGACACCCGAGUGUCUCACAGACUAUCUUCUGAUUUAAGAGUUUUGGCUUGUGCCUUGUGAAUUGAUUGAGCAGUGAUUUGAUCACAUUUAU